rnacentral:lncRNA from 1 species
AUUUGAUAGUAAGUGAUAAAAAUAUCUAUCAGUGUAUACAUUUAUAUAAAAAUAUCACAGGAAGUAUAUUCAAAUAUACCGGUAACUUUUCUUAUUUGUGCCUAAAUGGGUUUCAAAUAUUGUGACCUGGUUGUCUAAAUAUAGUAUAAUAUGACUUUAAAUAAUUUUCUCCAGCUUUUCUGGUUUCUACAUUAUAUCUCAAAAAUAAUUCUACUGUUGACAUAAAAAGCUAAUUCUGAAUAAAUUUUUCCAUAAAUCUGAAUAAAUAACUUUAUAUAUAAUUCAUAGUGAAACCAAUAAGUAUAUGUAAAUCCUUGUAACUUCAUUCGUAACAUAUUUUAAUACCGUAUGUUGUUAUUUCAAAAUUAUAAAUGAACAAAUCAAAAACUAGAUAUGCCUUACUUGUUACCAAAUUCCAAAACUCCAUGAAAAUAAGGUAGUCCAAAACAAAAUGUGAACCUUGAUCUGUAAAUUCAUAUUUAUAAUGGGUUACACAUGUAUUAUGAAUAAACAAGAAUGUGUCCCUAGUACAUGAAUGCCCCAUCCACACUAUCAUUUUCUAUGUUCAGUGGAUGGUAAAAAUGGGGUAAAAAUUCUUAUUUGGCAUUAAAAGUAGAAAGAUCAUACCAUAGGGAACAUGUGUACUAAGUUUCAAGUUGACUGGACUUCAACUUCACCAAAAACUACCUCAACCAAAAACUUUAACCUGAAGUGGGACAGACCAGAAAACAUAAUGCAUAAAAAUGGGGCAUAAAAAUGUUUUCAAUAACUGCAGGCAUCAGGUCAAGUCAACAUUUGGACUUGGAAAUAUAAACGACCAAUGAGAAUAGAUAGCACUAUAUGUAUGUAUAUGCCCCUGACAAUAAGUGGUGGAGGAACAAAAAUAAAAGCGAUACUGAACUUUAAUUUGGUAAAACUGUCCAAAAUGCAUAUAAAUGUAUUAUCAAACAAACAAAAAUUGUAGAGCAUAAGUACUAAAUACAUGUAGUAUACAUAAAUCAUUGUGACCUAAAUACCAGCACUUUUUUCAAAUUCAGUCCAAAUAGUAUCAGAUUAACAUGAUCCUUAAACAUACAUUGAUUGAACAUUUUGUGGCAAGAAAAUGGCAAAGAUCACAAUGUAUAUCACAGAUACUAGCAUACAAUAUAUGUUAUGUUAUUCAAAAUUCAGAUAAAUAUUGUAACUUUUUAAAUGACAGCUGUUGAAUGAAAUCAAAAUUGCUAAAGUAAAAAUCCAGGAAAGGAAUUUUAA